UAGGCUUGCUAAAUUUUGGCGGCGACCGGCCGAUGGGGUGAGUAACACGUAUGCAACCUACCUUUAACACGGGCAUAACCCGGAGAAAUCCGGACUAAUUCCCGAUAACACAGAGGCUCCGCAUGGAGAUAUUUGUUAAAGAUUUAUUGGUUAAAGAUGGGCAUGCGCUCCAUUAGCUAGUUGGUGAGGUAACUGCUCACCAAGGCAACGAUGGAUAGGGGAACUGAGAGGUUUAUCCCCCACACUGGGACUGAGACACGGCCCAGACUCCUACGGGAGGCAGCAGUGAGGAAUAUUGGUCAAUGAGGGCAACCUUGAACCAGCCAAGUCGCGUGAAGGAUGACUGUCCUAAGGAUUGUAAACUUCUUUUAUAUGGGAAUAAUUGUAGCCACGUGUGGUUAUUUGCAUGUACCAUAUGAAUAAGGAUCGGCUAACUCCGUGCCAGCAGCCGCGGUAAUACGGAGGAUCCAAGCGUUAUCCGGAUUUAUUGGGUUUAAAGGGAGCGCAGGCGGAGGUGCAAGCGUGCCGUGAAAGCGCGGGGCUCAACCCCGUACAGCGGCGCGAACUGCUCCCCUUGGUUGCGGGAAGGGAAGGCGGAACUCGUGGUGUAGCGGUGAAAUGCAUAGAUAUCACGAAGAACUCCGAUCGCGAAGGCAGCCUUCCGGCCCGUCAACGACGCUCAUGCUCGAAGGCGCGGGUAUCAAACAGGAUUAGAUACCCUGGUAGUCCGCGCAGUAAACGAUGGACACUCGGGAUUUGGGCCUUUUGCCUGAGUCCCCCAGCGAAAGCGUUAAG
rnacentral:rRNA from 1 species